AGCAGUGUGGCUUAGCGGUAAGGCACAGGGCUUGUAACCGAAAGGUUGCUGGUUCGAUUCCCCAAUGGGG